AUGCUUGUUUCAGCAGCACAUAUACUAAAAUUGAAACAAUACAGAUUAGCAUGGCCCCUGUGAAAGGAUGACACGCAAAUUCGUGAAGCAUUCCACAUUAAA
rnacentral:snRNA from 1 species